rnacentral:rRNA from 1 species
CGCCAAUACUGAUCGGGGGACACUAACCGCCCAAUACCUGACCGGCCGCCCUUGUGGCACCCGGUUUUUGGUGGAGCGCGGGACCUGAUCCCGGGAGGUAAGCGUAUUAACA